CAGCUGAGGGUAAAACAAUGAAAGACUGCAGAAUGAAUGGGAGGAGACCAUGGGAAACGAUACCUUUCUCAGAAGAAAAUGAGAUACAUGAUAGGCAUUCUUCAAAUUCAUGCUUGUCAUACUCCAGGAAAACAUGGAAGCUGCAGAAGUCUGGAAAAUAGAAAAAAAGUUAAGUAUUUCAAGAAUUCCUUUUUUCAUUGUUUGAAGAAACAUGUCUUUUUUUGGUUCUCUCUUAAAAAAGGGUAUCAGACUGCAAAUUAUCUGUAACAUUACUGUGCUUGAAUUAUUUUGCCUGGAGGGUAAGUAAAGCAAAACACUUAACUGUUCUACAUGGUGUAGUGUACUUUCUCCUAAUAUAGACAGAUCCCUAAUGUAUUAUCCUACGGGUCUGUGUAUGUUAGAGCAGUGAAGAAAAAAUUAUUCUCAUCUUUCAGAUUUAUGUCAGUGCAGCUACUCCAAUCUCAUACACAGAAUAAGUUUGCGAAUGCCUUUUUCUCAAUUAGAAUAAUUAAUUAAACUAUUACCAAUGCUACAGAGAAUUACAAUUACCAGCAUUAUUACCAGCUAAGGUCCAAUUCUACAUAUUUUUUUCUGCACCAUAAAUUCCUGUAGAGACCGGAAUACUCCACAUCAUUGAUCCUUGGAAUUUGAGGUUGUGCUAUGUGAGUGUGGCCAGAAAUAAAGGGCAUGCAGCAGCUCACUGCAGCCAACAUGCUACUACCCUGCAGGCCAGGGUGGAGAUUUUUUUCACCCCUGAAGACUGUAUUCAUUCAUGGGAAAGUUCUUGAGGGCCAUAUGCAGUGGGUGGUGCCAAAGCCUGAAGUAGGGGAGACUAAAGCCCAUUCACACACACUGUUCUCUUUCGUAGCUUGGCUUCCUUGCUGUGUGCUGAGAAAGGAGCACAGCGAAGAAAUGUAGAAGAAAAGAGAUAACCAAGCAAGCAUCUCUCUCCAUUGUGAGCUCUCUGCAGGUCAAGCAAGGAGGAGGGUCCAGGUCAAUGUCAUAGAAGCAAGGCCUUGUAGGCAAUCCUGGCAUUGUGCUCAUCUAGGGGAACAAUGAACUAGAAGUUACGGUCCUGCAAUUAACGCCCAGGAAGAUCUUCAAAGCGCAUAACAGCUAAGACACAGAUUGAGAAUGAAGUGGACCCUACUCACCGUUCCCACCAGUGGAUAAAUGAAACCAGCUCCAAUACUGGCUCUCACAUCACUAAUAGGCAGGAUGAAGCCAGUGGGGACACCUUUCUUCUCAGGCAUGUGAGAGAGGGACAGCUGCUGCACACUGGGGUGACAUCUUCAUCAAACUAACUACUACAAUCUCAAGGUCUCAUCCCAGGUCAAUACUUCCUCUUUAUUGCAAGUUUGUCAACCACUUUGAAAUUAACUGGGAUAGAAAUGAGAAUAAAUACCCCCCCACAGGAAAAGAGGAUAAAAGGAUGAAUGAAAAAUCUGAACACAGAUCUGUUGUUGCCACAUCUCUCUCUUGAAAGACAACGGAGUGCACUUCCAGGGAUGAAGUUAAAUCACUGGAGAAUCACAGUGCCUGCUGUGGCUGCAGAGACCAGUCACUCGUGACUGCUGCCUCCUGUGUUGUUUUUGCUGCAUCAGCAGCACCAAAGUGCCCACGCCUGGGCAGUGUGUCUGGAGGUCCUGGACUGCCCUUACAAAUCUAACUUGUAAUAUAAAAUCUGUCAGUGGAGACUACAACAAGCCAUGAUUAGCACAAAUAAAACCAGCUCAGGGAAUAAACUAGAA